UACAGAGGUCCCGAGCGUUGUUCGGAUUCACUGGGCGUAAAGGGCGCGUAGGCGGCCUGAUAAGUAGGGGGUGAAAUCCUGCGGCUUAACCGCAGGGCUGCCUUCUAAACUGCCGGGCUAGAGCACGGUAGAGGCAGAUGGAAUUCCCGGUGUAGCGGUGGAAUGCGUAGAGAUCGGGAAGAACAUCAGUGGCGAAGGCGGUCUGCUGGGCCGUUGCUGACGCUGAGGCGCGACAGCGUGGGGAGCAAACAGG
rnacentral:rRNA from 1 species